UCUGGGAAACUGCGUGAUGGAGGGGGAUAACUACUGGAAACGGUAGCUAAUACCGCAUAACGUCUACGGACCAAAGUGGGGGACCUUCGGGCCUCAUGCCAUCAGAUGUGCCCAGAUGGGAUUAGCUAGUAGGUGGGGUAAUGGCUCACCUAGGCGACGAUCCCUAGCUGGUCUGAGAGGAUGACCAGCCACACUGGAACUGAGACACGGUCCAGACUCCUACGGGAGGCAGCAGUGGGGAAUAUUGCACAAUGGGCGCAAGCCUGAUGCAGCCAUGCCGCGUGUGUGAAGAAGGCCUUCGGGUUGUAAAGCACUUUCAGCGAGGAGGAAGGGUUCAGUGUUAAUAGCACUGUUCAUUGACGUUACUCGCAGAAGAAGCACCGGCUAACUCCGUGCCAGCAGCCGCGGUAAUACGGAGGGUGCAAGCGUUAAUCGGAAUUACUGGGCGUAAAGCGCACGCAGGCGGUUUGUUAAGUCAGAUGUGAAAUCCCCGCGCUUAACGUGGGAACUGCAUUUGAAACUGGCAAGCUAGAGUCUUGUAGAGGGGGGUAGAAUUCCAGGUGUAGCGGUGAAAUGCGUAGAGAUCUGGAGGAAUACCGGUGGCGAAGGCGGCCCCCUGGACAAAGACUGACGCUC
rnacentral:rRNA from 1 species